GAAAUUGGGAUGAUCAAAUCUUACUUAAUGGACUACUAUUCUAUUAUGGAUACAUGAAAUUGGAGCAGUCUCAUUACUUACCUAUAUGGAGAAGUGAUGGUAUCAUUUUGACAACACUGCUUCAUAUUGGACCUGUCGAAUUUCUCUAUUAUUGGCUUCACAGAGCUUUACACCAUCACUUUCUCUACUCUCGUUACCAUUCACAUCAUCAUUCAUCCAUUGUUACUGAACCCAUUACUUCUGUGAUUCAUCCAUUGCAGAGCACAUAGCAUACUUCUUGCUAUUUUCCAUACCACUACUCACAACAGUGGUAACAAAGACUGCUUCAAUAGUUUCAUUUGGUGGAUAUAUCACUUAUAUUGAUUUUAUGAACAAUAUGGGCCAUUGCAACUUUGAGAUCAUUCCCAAGUGGAUGUUCUCUACUUUCCCUCCUCUCAAAUAUUUGAUGUAUACACCAUCGUACCAUUCACUACAUCAUACUCAAUUUAGGACAAAUUACUCACUUUUCAUGCCAUUAUAUGAUUACAUCUAUGGUAUUUUGGACAAAUCAUCAGACACAUUAUAUGAAAAAUCACUUGAAAGGCAAGGGAAAUCACCAGAUGUGGUACAUUUAACACAUCUAACAACACCUGAAUCCAUUUACCAUCUCAGGCUAGGAUUUGCUUCUUUCGCCUCCUAACCCUACACCUCUAAGUGGUAUUUCUGGUUAAUGUGGCCUGUCACUUUGUGGUCUAUGAUGGUUACUUGGAUUUAUGGUCACACAUUUACUGUUGAGAGAAAUGUCUUCAACAAUCUCAAUUUGCAAACUUGGGCCAUUCCAAAAUAUCGUGUUCAAUACUUUAUGCAAUGGCAAAGAGAGACCAUUAAUAACUUGAUUGAAGAAGCUAUCAUGGAAGCAGAUCAAAAAGGCAUAAAAGUUUUGAGCCUUGGACUAUUAAAUCAGGAUGAGAAACUGAAUAAGAAUGGGGAGGUUUACAUAAGAAGGCACCCUCAACUAAAAGUAAAGUUGGUAGAUGGAAGUAGCCUAGCUGUUGCUGUGGUCCUAAAUUCACUACCCAAAGGAACUACCCAAGUGGUCCUUGGAGGCCAUUUGUCAAAAGUUGCUAAUGCCAUUGCCCUUGCUUUAUGCCAAGGAGGAGUAAAGGUCAUGACAUUGAGAGAAGAAGAGUACAAAAAGCUCAAGUCAAGUCUUACUCCUGAAGCUGCAACUAAUUUACUUCUCUCAAAAACUUAUACUUCAAAGAUAUGGCUAGUAGGGGAUGGAUUGAAUGAAGAUGAACAAUUGAAAGUACCAAAAGGAACAAUUUUCAUUCCAUUUUCACAAUUUCCACCAAGAAAAACUCGCAAGGAUUGCUUCUACUUUCACACACCGGCAAUGAUUACUCCAAAACACUUUGAAAAUGUGGAUUCUUGCGAGAAUUGGCUGCCAAGAAGAGUAAUGAGUGCUUGGCGUAUAGCUGGAAUUCUACACGCACUUGAAGAUUGGCAUGAACAUGAGUGUGGGAACUUGAUGUUUGACAUAGAGAAAGUGUGGAAAGCAAGUCUUGACCAUGGUUUUCAGCCAAUAUCUGUGGUUUCUGCUUCUGAAUCAAAGGCAUAAGAUAAACACAUGUGAUCUGGCAUUGAUGUGGUGGCUUAUGAGUUAAAGAAAAAGUUCACUGUUGUUCAACUUCACAUACCAAAUGAUAUAUAUUGCUCCUACUAUGUAACACCUUUCUUUGUUUCUUUAAGAAUUUCCUAUGUUGUUUUCCGG
rnacentral:misc_RNA from 1 species